rnacentral:rRNA from 1 species
AAUGAACGCUGGCGGCGCGCCUAAUACAUGCAAGUCGAGCGAGAAGACGUAGCAAUACGUUUGUAAAGCGGCGAACGGGUGAGGAAUACAUGGGUAACCUACCCUCGAGUGGGGAAUAACUAGCCGAAAGGUUAGCUAAUACCGCGUACGCUCCUUGGACUUCGGUUCAGGGAGGAAAGCGAUACCGUGGGUAUCGCGCUCUUGGAUGGGCUCAUGUCCUAUCAGCUUGUUGGGAGGUACGGCUCACCAAGGCUUCGACGGGUAGCUGGUCUGAGAGGACGAUC